rnacentral:rRNA from 1 species
CAGCAGCCGCGGGAAUACAGAGGGUGCGAGCGUUAAUCGGAUUUACUGGGCGUAAAGCGUGCGUAGGCGGCUAAUUGAGUCGGAUGUGAAAUCCCCGAGCUUAACUUGGGAAUUGCAUUCGAUACUGGUUAGCUAGAGUGUGGGAGAGGAUGGUAGAAUUCCAGGUGUAGCGGUGAAAUGCGUAGAGAUCUGGAGGAAUACCGAUGGCGAAGGCAGCCAUCUGGCCUAAUACUGACGCUGAGGUACGAAAGCAUGGGGAGCAAACAGGAUUAGAUACCCCCGUAGUCCCUGUCUCUUAUAC